rnacentral:lncRNA from 1 species
GGCCUUGCUCUUAUGUCAUCUGACUAAAGGUUUCAUAGACCAAAGAUAACCAUCCAACCUGUUGGAAUACUGAAACAAUUGCUGCCUGCUUUCCACACACUACAUAAAAUAUGUGGAUAUCCUAAAUUCUACAAAAAAAAGAUUUGUAAGCAAAUCAAGCAAUACUGGGACUCCCUCUUCUCCAGAAGAGACAUCCUGGCCUCCAUGCAGAGGAAUGUGUGGAUAGACAUAUAUUUAAGGAAGACACUAAACCAGAAAAUACUACAUUACACCCUCUUAAAAGACUUCUAAGAUUGUUGUCAUGCCUACCACUGACAUUCAGAUGAUGUGUAUUCUUGAUUGUGAUUUCAUGUUUGGAGCUGAUGAAGGAGUUUGAAGUCUCCAGAGCAGCAAGGAGAGUGGGGAGUAGAACUCAUCAUCUUUAGGUCACUCAUCACCG